GGAGCCCCAUGCAGGGCUCCAACCCAGGACCCCAAGAUCGUGACCUGAGCUGAAGGCAGACAGGUGUUUUUACCUCCUGUUUGACUACAGUGUCACCGUCUGCUUGGGACUGGGGAUGGUCUAUCUCUGCGGGCGACACCACACCUUCCAAACAAGGGCUAUGGAUGUUGCCGACAGAUGGAUGUACGUUUGUUUAUUCAUUCAACUAACAUUCACUGAAUGCCAGGCCUUGUGCUGCCUACAUAUCAGCCACUCCACCCACCCAAAUUCAACCACAGCAACCCUGUGAGGCGGGUGCUGAUUGUACAAAUGGAGAGACUGAUGUCAACAAGGGUCUCCUCAGUAGACUUCCAGUGGUCUUACCAUCUGAACAGGAAGCAAUACCUUCUACAGUUGUGAAGCUCGAAUCAGCAGCAAAAUACAAUAGAAUUUGUUGACCCGAGCUCCUUCUCAGACUUGCACUGCCUGCCAUGCCCGCAAGCUGCAUGGUGCCAGACCAAGCUGCUAUCUUUCCCUUGGUUAUGAAGGUCUUCUGUGAGCUGCCAACCCGCUGAGAGGAGUACCCUGCAAAAUCCUGACUUGGCAAUGGGGCAGGUGAAGGAGGGGACUUUGGAAAAUCCUGAGAGAUUCUUCUUUGGAAAGAAGUGGAAGAUGAGGGAAGUGUCAGUAAGCAAUAGGCUUGUCACAGUCCAUUUCUCAAGGCUAGCCCUAGACAUUCUGGUGCCUAGAAGUGUCAUUUCCUGGCAAAGGUGAAGAGAGGGGCAGUUUCUACCUGCAGUUGCUGAUUCAGUCAGCUCUUGACCUAGUGAGCAAACACAUGCCCAGCCGCUCCAGCAAUCAUUAGACUGUUCUCCCUGACUCUAGCCCAGACCCCGCUCUGUGGAGUCAGCAUCUGCUAUGAGCCUCCCAUUUGAUUUGAUGACUUCCAUGUGGUAGGUAUUUAUGGAUGCAUCCGAUCCCUGGAGGUAUUAUGCUCAUAAGGUGCAGAAAAAAUAGUCCAGCCGCACUUUCUUCUCUAUCUUUCAGAGGCUCAGAAAUCAGCACGCUCUUUGCCUGUCAGCUUUCUGCAUUCCCUCAAUGACCAGGAGGGGGCACUGUGUAGCCAUAUCCUCCCAGGCGCUUCCCGAUACUUGUUUUUCCCGGUCCUCUGCUCCCGGGCCAUCCUUCUACCUGCGAGUGCUGCCGGGCUCUUUUGACCCCGGAAAUCUGAUCUAUCUUCUACCUGGGCCAGAACACCUGGAAGAACCUGCUGUGGAACAACACGGUCUUCACAAGGUCGGAGUAGUACGUUUAGCAGUGUCUAUUCUGAUGAAAAUGAUAGAGGACUAUCUCUGGUUGCUGAACGUAUGGAUUUGGGUGGAAUCAUUAAAUGAUAUUGGCACUAA